UACGGGGGGUGCGAGCGUUGUCCGGAAUCACUGGGCGUAAAGGGAGCGUAGGCGGGCUUUUAAGUUAGGUGUUUAAUCCCGGGGCCCAACCCCGGACCGGCACCUAAAACUGGGAGUCUUGAAUAGUGGAGAGGUCAGUGGAAUUGGGGGUGUAGCGGUGGAAUGCGUAGAGAUCCCCAAGAACACCAGUUGCGAAGGCGGCUGACUGGACACAUAUUGACGCUGAGGCUCGAAAGCAUGGGGAGCAAACAGG
rnacentral:rRNA from 1 species